rnacentral:rRNA from 1 species
GACGAACGCUGGCGGCGUGCUUAACACAUGCAAGUCGAACGGAAAGGCCCUUCGGGGUACUCGGGUGGCGAACGGGUGAGUAACACGUGGGUGAUCUGCCCUGCACUUUGGGAUAAGCCUGGGAAACUGGGUCUAAUACCGAAUAGGACCGCGCGCUUCAUGGUGUGUGGUGGAAAGCUUUUGCGGUGUGGGAUGGGCCCGCGGCCUAUCAGCUUGUUGGUGGGGUAAUGGCCUACCAAGGCGACGACGGGUAGCCGGCCUGAGAGGGUGACCGGCCACACUGGGACUGAGAUACGGCCCAGACUCCUACGGGAGGCAGCAGUGGGGAAUAUUGCACAAUGGGCGCAAGCCUGAUGCAGCGACGCCGCGUGAGGGAUGACGGCCUUCGGGUUGUAAACCUCUUUCACCAGGGACGAAGCGCAAGUGACGGUACCUGGAGAAGAAGCACCGGCCAACUACGUG